UACAGAGGAGCCAAGCGUUGUCCGGAUUGACUGGGCGUAAAGAGCUCGUAGGCGGUGUGUCGCGUCGGCCGUGAAAACCUGCAGCUUAACUGUGGGCUUGCGGUCGAUACGGGCAUCACUGGAGUUCGGCAGGGGAGACUGGAAUUCCUGGUGUAGCGGUGAAAUGCGCAGAUAUCAGGAGGAACACCGGUGGCGAAGGCGGGUCUCUGGGCCGAUACUGACGCUGAGGAGCGAAAGCGUGGGGAGCGAACAGG
rnacentral:rRNA from 1 species